AUGGCGGAAAGGGCAGCAGGAAAACGCAGGGGGCCCACGCUGCGGAGCGUUCAAACGCGGAGGUGCGCGACUGCGGCGCUCGCCCAGCUCCGAGGGUCCCCACGGCCACCGCUCGGGAUCCGAGGAGCCGCGGCCAGAUGGAAAAACCAGAUGGAAAAACGGGCCCAGCAGCCGGAGCCCCGAGGCACCCCGAGCUGUAGGGUUGCCAGCCCCAAAUCCAGGCUGUGGGAGAGGACAGCGAGGGGACCGCUGCGCGCUGGCUGCUGCCGCCUUACCCUGAGCCACCCGCCCGCAACGCUGCAGAGAGCAGGAGGAGGCCAGGUUUCUCUCCAGCACUCAGGGGACGAGAUGCUCCGGGGUGCCUGGAGAUGGAGACCCCACGGCCCCUGGCGUAGCCACCCACAGGAGAAGGAGAACGGGGCCGGGAGGCGGCCGUGCCCGCCCCACCAGGCUGUAUUUGGGUCAUCCUCAUCGAGCGGCCGUGCAGCUGUGUCAGCCCUGGAGAGCCCGGGGACACCGCUGCCCGCGCCACUCGGCUGGGCGCCGGUACCGACACCGCGCUCCCCAUUCCUCAAAAUGGGAGGAAAAAAAAAAACACAAAAAAAACCACAAACAAACGGGGAAUUCAGUCCGGCCUCGGCUUUUUCUGACAACAGCAGCUGUGCCUCUGCUGGUCCAGGACGUGGCUCCGUCCCCGUGAAUCGCCCGAAGCCAUCUGCAAUUCAGAUUGCGUGCGGGGCGGCCGCUGGUACAACAGGAUGCUCGUGCGGGCGGGACGCGGUCCCCUCCUGGCUCCAUGCUCCUUCCUCCCCGGGCAUGAAAGAAGGGAGGUGCAGGAUGUUUUCCCAGCUCUUUCUUUCCCUAUCCCGGCUGCCGGAGGUCGGGGAAGCAAUAAAAAGAAAGGAGGUAGAAAAGGGCAGAUGCUGGUGCCCAGAUCCUGCUGUGAGGGGAA
rnacentral:lncRNA from 1 species